CCUCUCCUCUCCCUCUCCUCUCCCUCUCCGUGCCCUUAGAGCAGUCCCUGAGCCAUCUCUGCCAGCGUGGGCAUGCCUGCUGUGAAGGAAGCCAAACUGUACAGAAAUGUCAUCUCUGAUGGCAUUCAAGAGUCCUGACACAAUUACAGAGCCUGGCCCCAGGGGAGAGCUUGCUGGGUGCUCACUCUAAGAUCACAGCCCUGCACUGCCUUGUACAGCAAGGGCGUGCUGCCAGCAGGGCUGAGUGCUGCAAGGCAGAAAGCGCUGUGGGAGCCUCUGGGAGCAGAGCAAGGGAAUAUGUUGAGAGGAGAGGAAGGCAGAGAAAAGAAAGGCACUCAGAGGCUGGGACUCUGAGCAGGGGCAGGACCCUGUGAGCUGACCAGAAAACUGGCACCUCUCAUUGCUCAGUCACGUGUGGGACCCUUCUCUCCCGCUUCCAAUGUGACAGCAAGGCCACGAACUCCUGCUUUGAGGUGACACGGUGAGGACAAUACAGCUGAUGCUCUUCUGGGGAGGGUGUUUAGGAGACACCAAGUGUAGUCUCAUGCACAAGGAUUCCCAGCAGCAGGAAGCUGCUGUGAGAGCAGAAAACAAAGAGCCAGGAAUGGCCCCUUGAAGAGAG
rnacentral:lncRNA from 1 species